rnacentral:rRNA from 1 species
ACUCCUACGGGAGGCAGCAGUGGGGAAUUUUGGACAAUGGGCGAAAGCCUGAUCCAGCAAUGCCGCGUGAGUGAAGAAGGCCUUCGGGUUGUAAAGCUCUUUUGUCAGGGAAGAAACGGUGAAAGCUAAUAUCUUUUGCUAAUGACGGUACCUGAAGAAUAAGCACCGGCUAACUACGUGCCAGCAGCCGCGGUAAUACGUAGGGUGCAAGCGUUAAUCGGAAUUACUGGGCGUAAAGCGUGCGCAGGCGGUUUUGUAAGUCUGAUGUGAAAUCCCCGGGCUCAACCUGGGAAUUGCAUUGGAGACUGCAAGGCUAGAAUCUGGCAGAGGGGGGUAGAAUUCCACGUGUAGCAGUGAAAUGCGUAGAUAUGUGGAGGAACACCGAUGGCGAAGGCAGCCCCCUGGGUCAAGAUUGACGCUCAUGCACGAAAGCGUGGGGAGCAAACAGGAUUAGAUACCCCGGUAGUCCCAUG